rnacentral:pre_miRNA from 1 species
UGGUGAUGAUGAUGAUGAUGAUGAUGGUGAUGAUGAUGAUGAUGGUGAUAAUCAUCAUCAUCUCCCUCAUCAUCAUCAUCGUUGUCG